rnacentral:rRNA from 1 species
GAUGAACGCUAGCUACAGGCUUAACACAUGCAAGUCGAGGGGAAACGAUGAGAGAGCUUGCUCUCUUAGGCGUCGACCGGCGCACGGGUGAGUAACGCGUAUCCAACCUACCCAUUACAGGGGGAUAACCUUGCGAAAGUAAGACUAAUACCCCAUGGCAUUUUAUGGUGGCAUCAUUAUAGGAUUAAAGAUUUAUUGGUCAUGGAUGGGGAUGCGUCUGAUUAGCUUGUUGGCGGGGUAACGGCCCACCAAGGCAACGAUCAGUAGGGGUUCUGAGAGGAAGGUCCCCCACAUUGGAACUGAGACACGGUCCAAAAUCCGACGGGAGGCAGCAGUGAGGAAUAUUAGUCAAUGGGCGAGGGCUUGGACCAGCCAAGUAGCGUGCAGGAUGACGGGCCUAUGGGUUGUAAACUGCUUUUAUAGGGGAAUAAAGUGAGCUACGUGUAGUUUAUUGCAUGUACCCUAUGAAUAAGGACCGGCUAAUUCCGUG